GUAUGUAUAUGAUAAGUAUAUCAAGUAAGUAUAUAUGUGUAUCUGUGUGUGUUGCCUAUAUGUGUAUGAAAUUGCCUAUUUCUACCAGAUCUAAUUUGCCCUCUGCUUGGGGGGGCUACUUUGGCACCCUUGAGUCUGUCAUCUUACUUAAACUCAGUAUAGUUUUUCUAUCCUUACCAAUUAUAUUAGCUAAUAGGAUAACUUAGAGAAUGCUAACCUGAUGUGGACUAAAAGGCAGUUGAUAAGCGAUUGACUUAUUUUUUGUUUGUUGGACACCUGUCUGUACACCAACUAUUUAAACAUCUGAGUGCAAGAUAAUUUUUUAAUUUCACUUUUGUCCUGCAUACCUUCUUGCUGACCUGAAGAGAAUCAUUGCCUUUCUCUUGAGUGGACUGUUACCCAUGUGAUGGAACAGCUAGUCACAAGCAUCAGCUAGUUGGAAUCAGAAGUGGAAAUUCAGAUUCCAUACUUUCAAGGAGUUUCCUUCAUAGGGGGUGAGGGGGAAGUAGACAUUUUAACCAUGUUGGUUCCAUUCAAGUCAGUGUAAUAUGACUUAAUGUUCCUCUGAACAGUUACAUAGCUAUCUAGUGUCAAUUAUUGUGCAUUGCUGAUGCUUCUUAAGAUACAGACUGGCCUUUUAACCAUGUUAUGUGAAUGUAAAUGAGGAAAAUCUUUUUACUGGGUGCCCAGAAAAGAUCAUUUAAGUAAGGACAUGGUUUAAAGAUGUUAAAGCUGACAAUACUGCACAGUUUGUCACUGUUCUGCAGUUUAUUCUGUAUUGGAUAUAAUUUCAGAUAUUGCAUUGUGACAGAUAGUAUUGUUUACUGUGUAAAUCUGUAGGAAAUGGUUUCAGCUAACAUACAUUAUCUUUUUGUUUAUAUAUUUUACAGCUUUCUUUUAUGUAUCAAGUACUUUGCAAAUUCUCAGAUAAAAAGGAAGUCUUGAAAUUUAUAUGCCAGGUAGACUACAUGCUAAAAAGAAGAUUUUUUUAAGUCUCUGAGGACAAGAACCUAUAGUAAACUGGUACGUGAGGUUCUUGAAUAAGCUUCAAUUCUUGUAUUAGCUUGGAUUCACUUUAAUAAUCAGCUUUGACUACUCCAGCCUGACUUUUAAUAUGUUGUUUACUAGUAAAACACACUUCGUUGAGAAUUACAUAUAUACGACAUUAUAAUAGUUCCAUAAGUUAGUAAUCCUAGAGGCCACGGUCAAUGUGAGUAUUAAAUGUCAUUUAUUGAAUAUUUAUAUAACAGUCCCUGCACCAAGGGUCUGCAGAUCAUUUUUAGAAACAAAACUUAGCAGUUGAGAGAUGCUUUUAGAGAACGCAUUUUUAUUUCACUUCAGAUUUUCUGUCUUGAAAGAAAGUGAGUAUUGUUUUAGGAUUUUUCUAUGCUUGAAUAUUGUUUCUUACUAAGCCUUUUCACCUUAAGUAAUGAGGUUUGGAUUUCUGGAAAGCAUUACAUGGACACAGCUUUGUCCUUGGUCUCAUUCUCUUCUGUUCCGUAGAUCUUUAACAGAAUACUUUAGUAUAGAACUUGUUAGCUGAAUAGCUGAAAUUCUGCAGAAAGAGUUUUCUGUCUUCUGUAGUAAACAAAGGUUUGCAUCAAUUCACUAGUCUGUUCAAACUGGAUUUAGAGCUAUACAGUUCUCUGUGUUAGAAGUAUGUAAUGUAUCUUUUUGUUGUACACUUUGCUCUCACAGAUUCAAGAGACCUUUGAUUUUCCUCAUGGCCUGUCCUGAUCAUUGUCAUCCAAGUUUUAGUUCUGGAUGAUGUCUAAAGUGAAGUCCCUAAACUUAAGAACAGGCUUGCAAUAAAAAUAGUAUUUUAAGAGUAAUGAUUAUUUGUUUCUUUAAUAAUUAAUGUUUGCGAAUGUCUUAACUUGCUGAGUCACUGCUAAUCCACUGGAAAUGACAUACAUGGAGUUAUGUAUUUGCCUUUCUCUUACACCUGAGGUUUUCCUGCUGAUUCCAUCUCCAGUCGCUCCAGGGAAUAAGAAUUUGAAAUGAGAUGGUGAAGAUGCAGAGCACCAAAGGAGUUUUAACUUACUGUGGUAUUUGAAUGCAUGUAACAGUUUCUAAAAAGAAUGAACAAAUACUUCACAGUUAAUUCAUCACAUUGGUCAAUCUAUGUGAAUAUUACCUUUCUUGUGUGUUGUAAGGGUAGAUUGAGGAUUUUUGGAGAUAUUUUGGAUGAAAUGAAAAAUAGUACAUGAUCCAAAAGAUGUAUGUUGGAAAACGCUAAUAAAAAGAAAAAAUAAAAAAGAAAAGAAAAA